AUUGGAACGAUACAGAGAAGAUU
rnacentral:piRNA from 5 species